rnacentral:lncRNA from 13 species
AUGGAUCAGAUCAAUGUCAUAAAAAUAUUUAUUUGUCACUUUGUUUUCUGUCUGCUCCACAGGGCGAUCCUGGCACAAGAGGUCCUCCAGGCAUUCCUGGUAGAGAAGGACCAAAAGGAAGCAAAGGUGAACGUGGAUUUCCUGGGCUUGCAGGAGAAAAGGGUGAUGAGGGUCUUCAAGGUGCUCCUGGACUGCCGGGUAUACCAGGACCAAGCGGCCCAUCUGGAGUCCCAGGAAGACCUGGACAUCCGGGUCCAGCUGGAGCAAAAGGAGAAAAGGGUAGUGAAGGUUCUCCUGGGAAACCUGGACCACCUGGGCCUCCGGGUAUGCCUUACAAUGAAAGAAAUGGAAUGA